rnacentral:rRNA from 1 species
UAGGGAAUCUUCGGCAAUGGACGAAAGUCUGACCGAGCAACGCCGCGUGAGUGAAGAAGGUUUUCGGAUCGUAAAACUCUGUUGUUAGAGAAGAACAAGGACGUUAGUAACUGAACGUCCCCUGACGGUAUCUAACCAGAAAGCCACGGCUAACUACGUGCCAGCAGCCGCGGUAAUACGUAGGUGGCAAGCGUUGUCCGGAUUUAUUGGGCGUAAAGCGAGCGCAGGCGGUUUCUUAAGUCUGAUGUGAAAGCCCCCGGCUCAACCGGGGAGGGUCAUUGGAAACUGGGAGACUUGAGUGCAGAAGAGGGGAGUGGAAUUCCGUGUGUAGCGGUGAAAUGCGUAGAUAUAUGGAGGAACACCAGUGGCGAAGGCGGCUCUCUGGUCUGUAACUGACGCUGAGGCUCGAAAGCGUGGGGAGCAAACAGG